ACAUCCUUCACUUUCAAGUUUCAACCAGCACACAACACGUAGUCUCUCUCUCUCUCUCUCUCACACACACACGCUCGCACAAAGGUAGAGAGGCGCAUUUUAUCUUCACCUAUUUCUCUCUCUCUCUCUCACACACACACACACCACAUGAAAAGAGCCUCUGAAACAAGGCUUCUGUGGUUAUUCUAAGCCAUUUUUUUUCUGCAUCUUAAUUUUAUCGAUUUCUCGAGGUUUUCGCAAGAUGGAGGUGACAGCUGAAGGGGCUUCGCUAACGUGCGCGGCGGGGCCGCUGUCCUUCCUUUUCCUCUUGGUCAAAGCUCACUACACAGCUCAGUUGGGGAAUUUUGCAAAACUACUGAUGCUGACUACAAUGGAAGGCCAAUUGGAAGCUGUUGAUGCCGAGGGAGGAGCUGGUGAGGAGAGCGACUAC